GACGAACGCGGGCGGCGUGCUUAACACAUGCAAGUCGAACGGAGUGGCGAACGGGUGAGUAACCCGUGGGUGAACUGCCUUGCACUUCGGGAUAAGCUGGGGAAACUGGGUCUAAUACCGGAUAGUGCAAGAUGAGCUCGCGGCCGAUCAGCUUGUAGGUGGGGUAAUGGCCUACCAAGGCGUCGACGGGUAGCCGGCCUGAGAGGGUGUACGGCCACAUUGGGUCUGAGAUACGGACCAGACUCCUACCGGAGGCAGCAGUGGGGCAUACUGCACAAUGGGCGGAAUCCUGAUGCAGCGACGCCGCGUGGGCGAUAAAGGCCGUCGGGUUGUAAACUCCUUUCGCCAGGGACGCGGUACCUGUAUAAGAAGCACCGGCUAACUACGUGACAGCAGCCGCGGUAAUUC
rnacentral:rRNA from 1 species